GCAAAGGUUUCUCCCAGGCAGGCAUUCCACAGGCCACUGCUUCCAGGACCCACUGCCAUUUGCUUUGUCUGAAGGAGCAGCGACACUGGCCAUUCUAACCCCUCACUCCUUGCCUCUGGUUCUGAAGCUGCCAGGAAGGAAUUAUGAGAGUCAACAUCACAGAGACAGUGCCCCUGUUGCCAUAGCAGCAGUGAGGUCAAAACCUGCAUCACGUGCAGGGCCAGAACACUGCUAAAAAAGAAAGAAAGAAAGAAAGAAAGAAAGAAAGAAAGAAAGAAAGAAAGAAAGAAAGCUACUGUAGAUGACUUCACCAAUGUGUCCUGGAACCCCACCUCCCUAGAGCCCUACUCCACUAGGGAAGACAGAAAUAGCCUGGGAGUAUGGCUCCACCUGCCAAGCCCAUGUCCAGGGGACAAGCAAUUACAGAAGCCAGACGUUCCACCCUCUGCACCCCAUAAAGAUCAUAAAGGUCCAUACUCCCAGAGGGACAAAGAAUAAGGAAACUUCUGAUGGAAGGGAGGGAAUAUGGAACUUUAGUGGUGGGAAUUAUAUGGAAUUGUACCCCUCUUAUCCCACAAUCUUGUCAAUCAUUACUAAAUGACUAAUUGAAAAAAAAAAGAGGGGGCCAAGCAGUACUGCACUGGGUUAAGCACACAUAAUGCAAAGCGCAAAGACUGGCAUGAGGGUUCUGCUUCCAGCCCCCAGUUCCCCACCUGCAGGGGGUUUGCUUCACCAACAGUGCAGCAGGUCUGUAGAUGUCUGUCUCUCUCUCCCUCUCUGUCUUCCUCUUCUCCCUCAACAAUAACAGCAACAAUGGAAAAAAGAUGGCCGCCAGGAGCAGUCGAUUCAUAGUACAGGCUCCGAGCCCCAGCAAUAACCCUGGAGGAAAUAAAAAAAAGUUAUGUAAGGUAAUAAUGAUGCUAUAAUUAUGGGGC